GAUACUCAGUGAGGGUUGAAUGAGAACCAGGUGGUAAUGGCUUCUCUUACACUCUCAGCGUUUAGCUCACAUCUGAAACACCUGGAGGGCUUGUGAAAACAGAUCGUUGAGCCCUGCUCCCAGAGUUUCAGACUGAGUAGGUCUGGGAUGGAGAAUUUCCAUUUCCGUCAAGUUCCAGUGCCUGUCGAUGCUGCUCCAGGGACCACACUUUGAGAACCACCUCUCUAAUAUCUAACCACCUCUAACGAUCCUGACUCAUUCUGCAUAUCCUAAGAAAACGAUGAUCACUAAAGUCAGCCCUGACAAAUAUUCUGCGAAACAGCGAUGAAGAAUCUGAUGUUAGGUCCCAGAAAGCAUUGAAGGUAGCUGGCCUAAAUACACACAGGCAAUAAGAAAAAAAGAUCUCAUCAAAAAUUGGUGGAAGAGGAAAUAAAUAUAAAGGAAAAGUGAGCGUAGAAAAGGUG
rnacentral:lncRNA from 1 species